GACGAACGCUGGCGGCGUGCUUAACACAUGCAAGUCGAACGGAAAGACCCUGCUCUUGUGCGUUUCUCGAUUGCCGAGCGGGUGAGUAACACAUGAGUAACCUGCCCUUGACUUUCGGAUAACUUCAGGAAACUGCGGCUAAUACCGGGUAUGAUCUCCUGCUGCAUGUUGUGCAUUGGAAAGUUUCGGCGGUGGGGGAUGGACUCGCGGGUUAUCAGCUUGUUGGGGGGGUAGGGGCUUACCAAGGCUUUGACGGGUAGCCGGCCUGGGAGCUUGACCGGGGACCUUGGGACUGAGAGAGGGACCAGAAGCCUACGGGAGGCAGUAGUGGGGAAUCUUGCACAGUGGGGGGACGUCAGAGGUAGAGACGUUGCGUGCGGGAUAACGGGUUUUGGGGUGUAAACAGAUUUGGACGGUGACGUAGAGUGAGUGACGGUAAUGGGUAAAGAAGCACCGGCUAACUACGUG
rnacentral:rRNA from 1 species